CUUAACGACUCUGUGGUUCAAUUUAGGGUCAUGGUGGGGAUGGCUUGGGUUGAAUUGAGUGAUCUUGGAGGCAUCUUCAUACCUUAACAACUCCUUGGUUCAAUUUAGGGUCACGGUGGGGAUGAUUUGGGUUGAAUUGAGUGAUCUUGGAGGCAUCUUCAUACCUUAACGACUCCUUGGUUCAAUUUAGGGUCGCAGUGCGGUGGGUUGGGGUUGGACUGGGUGAUGCUGGGGGUCUCUUUCAACCUUAAUGACUUUAUGGUCCUAUUUAGGGUUAUGGUGGGGGUCAGUUGGGAUUGAACUUGGGGAUCUGAAAGGUCUCUUCCAACCUGUAUGACUGUGGGUCUAUUUAGUAUCAUAAUGGGAUGGGUUGGGGUUGGACUGGGGGUCUUGGAGAUCUCUUCCAACCUUAAUGACUCUGUGGUUCUGUUUAGGAUCACAGUGGGGAUGGUUUGGGUUGAAUUGAGUGAUCUUGGAGGCAUCUUCAUACCUUAACGACUCCUUGGUUCAAUUUAGGGUCACAGUGAGGAUGGGUUUGGGUUGAAUUGAGUGAUCUUGAAGGCAUCUUCAUACCUUAACGACCUCUUGGUUCAAUUUAGGGUCAUGGUGGGGAUGGUUUGGGUUGAAUGGAGUGAUCUUGGAGGCAUCUUCAUACCUUAACGACUCCUUGGUUCAAUUUAGGGUCACGGUGGGGAUGGAUUUGGGUUGAAUUGAGUGAUCUUGGAGGCAUCUUCAUACCUUAACGACCUCUUGGUUCAAUUUAGGGUCACGGUGGGGAUGGUUUGGGUUGAAUUGAGUGAUCUUGGAGGCAUCUUCAUACCUUAAGGACUCCUUGGUUCAAUUUAGGGUGACGGUGAGGAUGGGUUUGGGUUGAAUUGAGUGAUCUUGGAGGCAUCUUCAUACCUUAAUGACUUUAUGGUCCUAUUUAGGGUUAUGGUGGGGGUCAGUUGGGAUUGAACUUGGGGAUCUUAAAGGUCUCUUCCAACCUGUAUGACUGUGGGUCUAUUUGGUGUCAUAAUGGGAUGGGUUGGGGUUGGACUGGGCGUCUCGGAGAUCUCUUCCAACCUUAAUGACUCUGUGGUUCAAUUAGGAUCACAGUGGGGAUUGUCUGGGUUGAAUUGAGUGAUCUUGGAGGCAUCUUCAUACCUUAACGACUCCUUGGUUCUUUUUAGGGUCGCAGUGCGGUGGGUUGGGGUUGGACUGGGUGAUGCUGGGGGUCUCUUUCAACCUUAAUGACUUUAUGGUCCUAUUUAGGGUUAUGGUGGGGGUCAGUUGGGAUUGAACUUGGGGAUCUGAAAGGUCUCUUCCAACCCGUAUGACUGUGGAUCUAUUUAGUGUCAUAAUGGGAUGGGUUGGGGUUGGACUGGGCGUCUCGGAGAUCUCUUCCAACCUUAAUGACUCUGUGGUUCAAUUAGGAUCACAGUGGGGAUGGGGUCGGGGUCGGACUUGGGGAUCUGGGAGCUCUCUUCCAACCUGAAGGGAUCUGUUUGGCGCCGUGAUGGGGUGAAUUGGGCUGGAGGAUCCCAGAGGUCUCUUCCGACCUCACUGCCCCUGUGGUUCUGUCAUUUGAUCUCCCACGGGCCGGGUGGCCAAGCAACCCUGAGCACCUCCAGGAAUGGAGCGCGUGGGGAAACUGGCAGAGAAUUGGGGCUCAGCCUUGAAACUGACACAAGAUUGGGGCCAAAAAGGCUGGAAAAGGACAACUUGCUUGUGGGGUGGGCGCCUAACAGUGAGCUCACAGCAGUGCUGCCAUCGCAUCGGCGUAACUCUCUUAAACCACACCGUGCAGCCGCUCCUGGGGUCUGGAGGAGCCUGGAGAAGAAGAGGAAGCCCUGCAGCCUUCCUGCCCGUCUCUCCCCUGGUUUCUAUUUGCACAAUUCACCAUUCUGUGUCCGCGUUUGUCCUCAGCAGAUUUCUUGCUUCCCUUGCAGUGAGAACGAGGCGCUGUGGAGGGAGGUGGCCAGCCUGAGGCAGAAGCACGCGCAGCAGCAGAAGGUGGUGAAUAAGCUUAUCCAGUUUCUGAUUUCCCUGGUGCAAUCCAACCGCAUCCUCGGGGUGAAGAGGAAGAUCCCCCUGAUGUUGAACGACAGCAGUUCAGCUCAUUCCAUGCCGAAAUACAGCCGCCAGUACUCCCUGGAGCACGUCCACGGCUCAUCCCCAUACGCAGUAAGUGAGCGGGGCAGAGGGGAGGGGGUGGCACAGCAUCCCUGGGUUGGAUCCCGCUGGGGUUUCCUGCUUUUCCUUUUCUUGGUGUGGGGUCUGCUCAUGAAUUCUUGGCUCUGUUUGGCUGUCGGGUGCUGCUCUGUGCUGAUGGAGCUCGUGGGAUGGAGAUGGCAGCUGAGAGGGAAGAGCAGGAGGCAUCGAAACAGGAUGGAGCAGAACAGAAUAGAUCAGAACAGAACAGGAGAGGAUGGGAUGGAGCAGAACAGGAUAGGAUAGAAUGGAAAGGAUCUGAAAGGAACAGGAUGGAGCGGAACAGAAUAGAUCAGAACAGUGCAGAAUAGGAAGAUGGGAUAGGGCAGAACAGGUUAGGAUAGAAUGGAAAGGAUCCGAAAGGAACAGGAUGGAGCAGAACAGAAUAGAUCAGAACAGCACAGAAUAGGAGAGGAUGGGAUAGAGCAGAACAGGAUAGGAUAGAAUGGAAAGGAUCCAAAAGGAACAGGAUGGAGCAGAACAGAAUAGAUCAGAACAGCACAGAACAGGAGAGGAUGGGAUAGAGCAGAACAGGAUAGGAUAGAAUGGAAAGGAUCUGAAAGGAACAGGAUGGAGCAGAACAGAAUAGAUCAGAACAGCACAGAACAGGAGAGGAUGGGAUAGAGCAGAACAGGAUAGGAUAGAAUGGAAAGGAUCUGAAAGGAACAGGAUGGAGCAGAACAGAAUAGAUCAGAACAGAGCAGAAUAGGAGGAUGGGAUAGAGCAGAACAGGUUAGGAUAGAAUGGAAAGGAUCCGAAAGGAACAGGAUGGAGCAGAACAGAAUAGAUCAGAACAGCACAGAAUAGGAGAGGAUGGGAUAGAGCAGAACAGGAUAGGAUAGAAUGGAAAGGAUCUGAAAGGAACAGGAUGGAGCGGAACAGAAUAGAUCAGAACAGCACAGAAUAGGAGAGGAUGGGAUAGAGCAGAACAGGAUAGGAUAGAAUGGAAAGGAUCUGAAAGGAACAGGAUGGAGCAGAACAGAAUAGAUCAGAACAGCGCAGAACAGGAGAGGAUGGGAUAGAGCAGAACAGGAU